UAUUGCUCUUGAACGAGGAAUCAAAAGGAGGCACAAGUCACUAGCUUGUGCUGAUUACGUCCCUGCCCUUUGUACACACCGCCCGUCGCUACUACCGAUUGAAUGGCUUAGUGAGGCCUUCGGAUCGGAGGUGAGGACUAGCAAUAGAUCUUACUCUCGAGAAGUUGGUCAAACUUGGUCAUUUAGAGGAAGUAAAAGUCGUAACAAGGUUUCCGUAGGUGAACCUGCGGAAGGAUCAUUACCAAUCUUUAGUGAGCCUGGACUUGUCCAUGGUCUCGCGAAAUCUUGUAUUUAAAACCUACUCUUAAUAAUUAAAAAAAAUGUAUUAAUGAUAAAUUAAGAUCACUUUCAACAACGGAUCUCUUGGCUCUCGCAUCGAUGAAGAACGUAGCGAAGUGCGAUAAGUAGUGUGAAUUGCAGAAUUUCGUGAAUCAUCGAAUUUUUGAACGCAAAUUGCACUCCCUGGCGUUCCGGGGAGUAUGCCUGUUCGAGGGUCAGUUCAAAUAAAAUCGGCGUGUUGCUCUUUCGUGACACUCCGGAGUUGGGUCAUCUUAUAACAGUACCUUUCAAGGUGUUUCUAAGAGGCUUAAAAUUGACAUCUUUUUUGCGCAUUUUAGACGUACAUAAAUUUUUUUUAUUCGUUUAUUCUAAUGCCAAAAUCUCUAUUAGAUGCGACCAUAUCGUGUGGUUUCCGUGUCUAUAAAUUUUUUUCAUGAUUUGACCUCAAAUCAGGUAGGAUCACCCGCUGACUUUAAGCAUAUUCAAUAAGCGGAGGAAAAGAAAUUAACAAUGAUUCCCUCUAGUAACUGCGAGUGAAGAGGGACCAGGCUUCAAAUUUUAAUCUGUCGGUUUUUUCCUUGACCGAAGUUGUAUUUGAAAGAGCGGUUUUUUUCUGCGCCUGUUGGAUCGCCCCAAGGUCCCUAUUGAAAUUGGAGGCCAUCAUUGAAGGUGUGAAUAUUCCCGUCCGUUGAAUCAUUGGUGGCUCUCUACGAGAAUCCGCCUUCCAAGAGUCAAGUUGUUUGGAAUUUGCCAAGCUAAAUUGGAGGUUAAUUUCCCUCUAUGCUAAUUAACCGGCCGAGAGAC
rnacentral:rRNA from 1 species